rnacentral:rRNA from 1 species
CCUACGGGAGGCUGCAGUGGGGAAUAUUGCGCAAUGGGCGAAAGCCUGACGCAGCGACGCCGCGUGAGGGAUGAAGGUCUUCGGAUCGGAAAACUCUGUCAGCAGGGAAGAACGGUCACUGUGCUAAUCAGCAGUGAAUUGACGGUACCUGCAAAGGAAGCACCGGCUAACUCCGUGCCAGCAGCCGCGGUAAUACGGAGGGUGCGAGCGUUAAUCGGAAUUACUGGGCGUAAAGCGCUCGUAGGCGGUAUGUCAAGGCAAGGGUGAAAUCCCCGCGCUCAACGUGGGAACUGCCUUUGAAACUGGCAGACUGGAGUGUGUGAGAGGAUAGUGGAAUUCGAGGUGUAGGAGUGAAAUCCGUAGAUAUCUGGAGGAACAUCAGUGGCGAAGGCGACUAUCUGGCACAUAACUGACGCUGAGGAGCGAAAGCGUGGGUAGCAAACAGGAUUAGAUACCCGUGUAGUC